AUAAGUAUAAACAUGAGUAAGAAUACAGGAAAUAGGUACAAAUAAAUAGGGACAAUAGGACAGGGACAGGAGGCACGGUGGUGCACUUAUGCACGCCCCUUACAGACCUCUUAGGAAUGAGGUGAGGUCAAUAGUGGAUAGUUUGUGGUUAAAGGAGCGGGGGUUAGAGGAUGCAACAGAGUCAGGAAGUGCAUUCCAGG